CACAAGUGCAGGAAGCUGUGCAGAUGCUGUAUCAGUGUCCUAGAGUGAAUUAUAUAGGUCCACACUGCAUUUCGAGAAAACUUCACAGAGACUCUGAGGAGACAUUGAUGACUUCCCAGAAGCCCAUGGAGCUGUUUCUAGUAUGCUUUCUGUGGUAA
rnacentral:lncRNA from 1 species